CCUACGGGCGGCAGCAGUGAGGAAUAUUGGUCAAUGGACGGAAGUCUGAACCAGCCAUGCCGCGUGCAGGAAGACGGCUUUAUGAGUUGUAAACUGCUUUUGCACAAGGGUAAACCUGAAUACGUGUAUUCAGCGGAACGUACUGUACGAAUAAGGACGGGCAAACUCCGUGCCAGCAGCCGCGGUAAUCCGGAGGUUCUAAGCGUUAUCCGGAUUUAUCGGGUUAAAGGGGUGCGUAGGCGGAUUGAUAAGUUAGAGGUGAAAUGUCCGAGCUAAACUCGGGAACGUCCUCUAAUACGGUUGAUCUAGAGAGUAGAUGCGGUAGGCGGAAUGUAUGGUGUAGCGGUGAAAUGCUUAGAGAUCAUACAGAACACCGAUUGCGAAGGCAGCUUACCAAUCUAUAUCUGACGUUGAGGCACGAAAGCGUGGGGGGCAAACAGGAUUAGAUAACCGGGAGUC
rnacentral:rRNA from 1 species